GUUCUUGUCAGGUCUAUCAAAGAUCAGUUGGUUGUAGUUAUGUGGCUUCAUUUCUGGAUUCUCUAUUCUGUUCUAUUGAUCCAUGUGUCUUUUUAUUUUUAUACCAGUAUCAUGCUGGUUUGAUUAUUAUAGCCUUGGAAUAUAAAAUCAGUUUUCCUUGUAGACAUCUUUCACCUUCUGUGAUGGUUAAUAUUGUGUCAAGCUGAUUGGAUUGAAGGAGGGAAAUUAUUGUUUUUGGAUGUAUCUGGGUGUUGCCAGAAGAGAUUAACAUUUGAGUCAGUGAACUGAGAGAGGAAGACUCACCCUCAAGAAGACCCACUCCCAUUAUGUGUGAGCACCAUCCAAUCAACUAUCAGCAUGGCUAGAGAAAGCAGGCAGAAGAAGGUGAAAGAAGCUGACUUGCUGAGUCUUCCCGCCUUUCUAUUUCUCCUGUGAGGGAUGCUUCCUGCUCUUGAACAUCAGACUCCAAGUUCUUUGGUUUUUGGACUCUUGAACCUACGCCAGUGGUUUGCCAGGGGCUCUCAGGCCUUCAGCCACUGAUGAAAGCCUGCACUGUCGGCUUCCCUACUUUUGAGGUUUUGGGACUCAGACUGAGCCACUACUGGCUUCCUUGCCCCUCAACUUGCAGAUGGCCUACUGUGGGACUUCAC
rnacentral:lncRNA from 10 species